rnacentral:tRNA from 1 species
AAAUAGUCGGGAUAGC